AGUUUGAUCCUGGCUCAGAUUGAACGCUGGCGGCACGCCUUACACAUGCAAGUCGAGCGGUCAAAAUGAGGGAGCUUGCUCCCGAAAGACGAGCGGCGGACGGGUGAGUAACGCGCGGGAACGCGCCCUUUGGCGGGGGACAACCUUGGGAAACCAGGGCUAAUACCGCAUAAUCUCUACGGAGUAAAGCGGGGGAUCUUCGGACCUCGCGCCAUUGGAGCGGCCCGUGUCCGAUUAGUUUGACGGCGGGGUAACAGCCCACCGUGGCUACAAUCGGUAGCUGGUCUGAGAGGAUGAUCAGCCACACCGGGACUGAGACACGGCCCGGACUCCUACGGGAGGCAGCAGUGGGGAAUAUUGGACAAUGGGGGCAACCCUGAUCCAGCGAUGCCGCGUGUGUGAAGAAGGCCUUCGGGUUGUAAAGCACUUUCGCGGGGGAAGAAACUUCGCGCUCUAACAUAGCGCGGCACUGACGGUACCCCGAGAAGAAGCGCCGGCUAACUCCGUGCCAGCAGCCGCGGUAAUACGGAGGGCGCAAGCGUUAAUCGGAAUGACUGGGCGUAAAGCGUGCGCAGGCGGCCGCNGAAGUCGGAUGUGAAAGCCCCGGGCUCACCCGGAAACUGCGUCGAA
rnacentral:rRNA from 1 species